rnacentral:rRNA from 1 species
GACGUAGGGAGCGAGCGUUGUCCGGAUUCAUUGGGCGUAAAGCGCGCGUAGGCGGCUUCGUUAGUCGGGUGUGAAAAUCCGGGGCUCAACCCCGGACCUGCAUCCGAUACUGCGAGGCUAGAGGUAGGUAGGGGAGAUCGGAAUUCCUGGUGUAGCGGUGAAAUGCGCAGAUAUCAGGAGGAACACCGGUGGCGAAGGCGGAUCUCUGGGCCUUACCUGACGCUGAGGUGCGAAAGCUAGGGGAGCGAACAGG